GUCUUCCUUCUGGCCGGUAUAGGUUCCGGCCGGAAUGACGACGGAGACGAACGGAGGCCCGAUCUUGUCGACAACGGCCUUCGGCACCGAAACCACGUUGAUUUCGGUCGAACUCGACAGAUCUUUCNNNNNNNNNNNNNCCGCCGACUGCAGAGUGGCGUUGAGCUGACGGUUCUUCAUCAGGUCGACGGAUUCAGCGAACGGCAGAUACUCGACCUUGCCGAGAUCCUUGUAGCUCAGGUCCGCCGCCUUCAGGAUAGCGCGCGCGUUGAGUUCCGUGCCGGAUUUCGGCGCGCCGACCG
rnacentral:misc_RNA from 1 species